GUGGUGGUGGUUCAGUGGUAGAAUUCUCACCUUCCAUGCAGGAGACCUGGGUUCAAUUCCUGGCCAGUGCA
rnacentral:tRNA from 1 species